rnacentral:rRNA from 1 species
UACGAAGGGGGCUAGCGUUGUUCGGAUUUACUGGGCGUAAAGCGCACGUAGGCGGAUCGUUAAGUCGGGGGUGAAAUCCUGGAGCUCAACUCCAGAACUGCCUUCGAUACUGGCGAUCUUGAGUCCGGAAGAGGUGGAGUGGAACUCCUAGUGUAGAGGUGGAAUUCGUAGAUAUUAGGAAGAACACCAGUGGCGAAGGCGGCUCACUGGUCCGGUACUGACGCUGAGGUGCGAAAGCGUGGGGAGCAAACAGGG